GGAUGGUGGCUAUAUUGAUUGCGCGCUUUUCGCUACCAUAGAAUCAUCACCAGAAGUAAGAGAGAAAAUGCGCAUAAAUGCUUGGCAUGGAAUAAACACUCGGCGAGAGUCAGCCACCAUGAGGGUGCUGCCUGGAGCAGCGUGCACCUCAUACAACCUCACCAGCGUCAUUUGUACUAAAGGGUCGUGCAGCAGAGUGCACAGGUCAACAGCAGGGUCUCUGAUGCCAGAGCACCAGAUCAUGGCCCAACUCUCAGUAUGUGACCUUGGGCAAGUCAUCUGACAGCGAUGAGCCUCAUUUUCCUCACCUGUAAAGCGGGGAUUAGACACAUCACAGGGGUGUAAAGAUUAAAUGAGGCGAUACUUGUAAAGCAUUUAAAACAGCUGCCGACAGAGUGGGCACUCAGCCCUUGCUGGCUCUUAGCCCUAAGUGAGAGAGAAGCUGUGUGAUGGGAUGGAAGGAAGACAGAUUUGGGCUGUGUAAAGCCUGGCUCUGUCGCUUAAUAGCUGUCAAAAUGUCAAGCAUUUAAUCUCUGAACCCCUGCUCUCUCAUCUGCAGUGUGGUCAUUGUAGCAAUAGCUCAUGUAACUACUUCAUAGGGCCACUUGCUGGACCAAAAGCAAGGCGGAGGUUGAGACCCUCUCUACAGAUGUCCUCAAGCAUCAUCACGGCCACACACCCCCUGCACAGCCAGCUGGACGUCUCCCUGCACUGCCUCGCCCCUUCCUGUCCCAGAACUGGAAAGGAGGCCCCCACCCCAGCUGAACGCCAGGCCCUUGCCUUACUUUCUGCUCUUCUGUCCCCAGACCUUUAAUGAGUUUGAGAUCGAGCAGCACCAGGAAUGUGCCUAUGACCACCUGGAAAUGUAUGACGGGCCGGACAGCCUGGCCCCCAUUCUGGGCCGUUUCUGCGGCA
rnacentral:lncRNA from 1 species